UUAAACAGUGUAAUCCUGGGAUACCAUGUAGUAAGUUAGGUGGACACACAGAAUCCGAUUUCUUAAAAGCAUCUGACGCGGUUCUGUGCCUGGCUAGGAUCCCACAAUAUUGGAACAUUCGGGUGUUGACCCAGCACACAACGUCGGGCAAGGAUACCCACCCGAAAGAGAAAGACGAAAUGUAAGAAAUGUAUUCAUGAUGUAUAAAAUCGCUUCAGAAUAAACAAUAUAUAUGUUAUUUUUCUAAUUUUGUUAGUAUUUCUCUAUUCUUUCAAAGCAGUAACCCUAUAAUCACUAGUAAAAUGUUUUAAGACAACAUGCAUGGUCGCCCUGGGAUUGCGGCGCGACACAAGCAAAACAAACUUCAUCUGCUGAGCUGCACCAAGCUGGGAAUUACUUCGUAAUAAUGGCCUGAGAACUUUUCUGUGGCAUUGUUAAUCUCCUACAAGAACUUGACUAUGAGGAAAUAGAAGAAAUUCAGCGCUUGAGAUUACCACGUACAGUACUACGGGAUUGCAGUGACCCAAUGGUAUACCUCACGGAAGAGGAAUUCAUCCAAAGGUAUCGACUAUCAAAGGAUUAGUGAUGUGACAUCAAGCAGAAACUAAAACUAGUGUCUUCACAGCUACAGCAACGUGCACUGAGAAAUUUCAGAAAUAUGAUAUCAGAACUGGAAAAUGAAGGUAAACAAUGUGAUCAGUUUAACAGUGGUCGCUAUACUGAACAGGUACAAUACCUCGCCUCAGAUUUUGACGGGUUUUCAAGAUAGAGCAGCAAUGGAACCUGUUGCAACAUAUAUGUAUCAUACACAGUCUUACCCUUCCUACCCAUAUUCUUACCUAAUACUUAUAGGGAGAACUCUACCAGUUUGUGCUAUUUCACAAUAGUUUAUGAUCUUUUAUUGAUAAACUUUCCAUCUCUGUUCUUUCAAUGUAUAUUUGUGUGUAUAAUUUCUAAGUGGAAGAUGACAUAUACAGAGAAAUGUACACCUCAAUGGGCAAUGUAAUGUUUUUAUGUUUGGUUGUGUUGUGGAGAUACAAUUAAAAUGUACAAGUAUAAAAUAAAAUAACAAUACUACACUUCAAGUUA